ACUGAAUAGAUACCCGGGUAGUCCACACGGUAAACGAUGAAUGCUAGGUGUAGGAGGUAUCGACCCCUUCUGUGCCGCAGUUAAACGCAAUAAGCAUUCCGCCUGGGGAGUACGGUCGCAAGAUUAAAACUCAAAGGAAUUGACGGGGGCCCGGCACAAGCAGCGGAGCAUGUGGUUUAAUUCGACGCAACGCGAAGAACCUUACCAGGUCUUGACAUCCAGUUAAAGCUGUUGAAAGAUAGUGUCCCUUCGGGGGAACGUGAGACAGGUGGUGCAUGGUUGUCGCCAGCUCGUGUCGUGAGAUGUUGGGUUAAGUCCCGCAACGAGCGCAACCCUUAUUGAUAGUUACUAACGCGUAGAGGCGAGGACUCUAUUGAGACUGCCGGGGACGAACUCGGAGGAAGGUGGGGACGACGUCAAAUCAUCAUGCCCCGUUACUGACCUGGGGCUACACACGUGCUACAAUGGCCGAUACAGAGAGAAGCGAAAGCGCAGGCCGGAGCGGAUCUCACAAAACGCGGUCGAAGUUCGGAUUGUGGGCUGC
rnacentral:rRNA from 1 species